ensembl:lncRNA
AAACAUUCAUCACUUCUGCUGGAGCAUAGCUCAUGGUACACAUUAGGAAAUUUCCAGUAGCUGCAAGAACAAUACAAACAGAAAUCAGUAAAGGUCUCUGUGUUACAAGUGCAUCUGAAGGACGCUCUGUGAGGCAACCCCCCAGGAGCUGCCAAAGCAGGUUUCUGUCAGAAGAUGAAAGUAAGCUUCUUCUCUGAAAAUGAACUGCUUUGUAGGAAAAAGGAAGCAAAAACAUUUUUCUUCCCAUCAGCUCAUUUCCUUCCUAAACUAACUCCAUCAUUUCCUAAGCCUACCUAGCACCUUUCUAUUUAAUAAGUUUAUCUGCAAAGUGCUUAAUUCUGCUGCUUCUCCAAUUCUCGGAGGUAGGCAAUCUAAGACUAUUUGCAAAUACCCUUUGAACUGAAGUGAUGAGAGACUGCAAUUAAUCAAAAGGUUGAAUCUAUAGAAAAGCCCUAUUAAAAUCUUGGGAACUGCUGAGGAGGUAAUGGCUAACUGUUCCCAAGGGGAUGAAAAAUAAUAAAGAAACAAAAACUAUUUAGGAAUCCUAUUAACAAAAUGUAUCAGACUGUAUAUGAAACUGUAUAAAAAGAUUUCAAAGCCAAAUGAGGCUUUGAGGAAAAAAAAAAACUUGGUAUUGUUUUGGUUUCUUUGUAUAAAUGCAUAGUCAGGCAUUCAUACUUCAACUGAAUGUGUGUCUUAUUUUCUGCCUGACCUCCAUCUCAUUCAGAAAGAUUGUCCCCAUAAAGUCAUUCUCCUGCCUUUCAGCAGGAUAGUUUUUAUCCUACUCUGUCAGUACCUUGAGAAAAGUACCCCUAAGGAAAUCAAUGAAAGAAAGGGCAACUGCUUGUAUUUUGGAGCACAGGGCUUAAAAUAUCUCCUCCGCCACUGUUUGCCAAUGCCACCAGCGAAGCAAGGAUAACAGCAGCUUCUUCCUGCCUUGUUCAGUGUGCAGGAUUGUUAUUUAGAAUUCAGUAUCUGCAGCAGCAGGGUGCUGACAUCCUCUGUCAUUUUCAGAUGUUGCAUGGAACAUAAGGAGCAGCCAGUGUGUUGGGGGAGGGCUAGGAGGGGGUGUGGUGUCAUGAGCCAUUGGGUUGGAGGGAGUCAUGAAGAAACCUGUCCCAAGAAUGAGGAGCAACAAAGAGCUGGACAGAGGUACUAUUUCAACUCCUGCCUCCCACUUUUGAAAAGAGAGAAAGUAAGGAUUUAAGGACUUCCUAAACCACAUACGAGACAAAACAUACUGUGAAAAUGAAUCAUGUUUUCUUCUACCCCAUUAGACAAGGAGAUUUUCUUGGAAAGAAAUUCUUGAAAAUAUCAUUGCAGGAUAAUUGCUCUCAUGCACAGCUUUCUCUUUCAGUUGUCCAAAAUCCUGUGCAGGCUCUAUACCACUGUCUUGUUCAAAACUGUAUUUUCUUCUAACCUUAUUGUAACUUCUGCUUUUUACUUUCUAGGCUGUAACUGAAGUCUGAAAGCACUCAGCUGUUAUGGUGGGAUCUGUGUUAAACACACAAAAAAGAAAUCACUGCGAUCUCUCAAGACAGACUGAUUGAUAUCUUAGACUACCUGACAAAUAACACGUUGUCUCAAAGCAAGGCCUUUAAGAUCUUCUACUGAUAAUACUCAUGAUAAUUAAAGGCCAUGGCCACUGUGAUUAGCCUAGAUUCUUUCACACACAAAAAAAUAAAGCCAACUUCUGGCUUUUGGUCAGUUAGUACCUCAGUAAGCCAUAGUUCCAAAAGCCUUGUGUCAUGGUGGAAGCUGUCACCUCCCUCUAGGUGACAAUGAAGCACAGGCACAGUUCUACAUGACCUGAUUUGAUAUUACCAGGUGGUAACACACUAACAAAAUCCACAGGACAACUUGAUCUCACAGAUGCAUCUCUGCCUUGAUGGUAUAUAAAUUUAAAGUGAAGGGCAGCACUUCUUAAUUACUUACAUUGUUUAUUUUAAUGUAGCUUACAGCUUUCAUUUUUAAACCAGAAAUGGAAGGACAUAGUUUCUCUCAAGACAGCAGGUUUGUGUUUUUAAAAGAUUUUAAAUUAAUACAUGUAUUUACUCACUGUAGCAGAAAUGCUAAGUAAGUCACAGUCUGAACCAGUGACUGAGCACCCAGUGGGAAGGCAGGGCCAACACAGGGGAGCUCAGGUGCAUGCAAUGUACCUGAGUGAGCAGAAGGGGUGGAGCCAGGAUCCACCCCUUCCCAAACCUCAUUUAAGGGUUGGCAGUGGAGGUAGGGAUUUUUUGCUGGAGAUCCCUGCCUCCCAGAGGUCUUCUGAAGGACUGGAGCUGCUAUGGCUGAAAGCUGACUUCUGAGACUCCCAUUGCUUUGCCUUCUGUUAAGGUACCUUUCAUUCAGAUCAGAUCUAGUCCCUGGAUAUCAACCUGGAGAACAUUUCAGGGAAAUCUUGCCAAGAAGGGAUUAACCAAUGGGCUGGAAUGGACAAAAUCUGAAACAGUGCAGUGUGGGUUAACUUUUCAUUCUUGAACCUCUCAGCAUUAAUCAUUUCCUUCUGUAGCACAUGCUGCUGUUGCUUUCAGAGUUGAUGCUUGUCCAGUUGGCUCUUGUAUCUGUUGUACAAGAUGCCAGAUUUUCCCAAAAGCCAGGAUCAUUAAUGCCACAAAUCACUCAGUCUCAACUGACUCAAAUCAUGGGGCUUUGUUUGGGACACCUUUGUGUCCGCAGUUUCUUUGUUCCCCUUGAAAAACACAGCUGAGUUUAUACUGCUGUGCCCACUCCUUUUCCUACAAAAGGAAUCCUAUCCCUAUGCUUCUGACGCAUUUAAUUUGUUAGCUGAUGGGCUGCUUUAAUUGUAGUCAAAGGAGAUUCACAUGAAUACUGCAGAAAGGUGGGAAUGGUGAGAAUACUUUUUUCUACUUGCAAGUAAGCUAGCAUUCAUUUUACUGAUGAUCUUUAAUUUCCAGGGGUAAGAGAUGCUACCAUUUGUUCUGUGUUUAUGAAGCACUGGAGACAUAACAGAGUGUUCAGGCUCCUGAAGUUGAAUGGUAGCUGUGGGUAUCUCUUGGACCUGAGCCACCAGAGCAGGAGAGAUGCCCAUAGGAGGGAACAGAACUAGCAGAGUUGAGCAUUCAACCAUUUUCCCUUCAUUUUAUGCACCAGGGAGAGGAAGAACUGAGAGGCAGAGAGAAUGUGGGACCACAACUCUCAUUUCCAGAGCUCUUUCUCAGUGAGUGCUGCUGGCAGUGUAAUGUGGGCAGGGUCUACGUUAGAGGAGAAAAGCAAAGCUGUGCCCUAGUCCAUCACCAGUAGAUGAAAGUGUGGCUCCUGCUUCUGGACACUGGCACUCUUUUCGGUGUCUGGGCCAUGGUGAGAGCCCUUUUUGUACUACCCUGGCCCUGGUUCAGGCUAUAAUGCUGUUCUAGCCACUGUUUGAGCUCUGCUGCAUUCAUACAUGCUCCUGCAGGGUACACAAUCUUGAUGAAGGUAUCCCGUGCUGCAGAAAGCAGUUACUUUCAUUCAUAAUUUUCUUUAAUUAAUGACUGUCACGAUGAAGAUUUGUACUUUCUUUUUGAUUUUCCCUGGCAUUAGCUCACAUCAAGUAAUUCAAGUUAUGCCUUUCCUUGCUAGGUUGAAGAGCACUUCAGGAAAUCCUUGUUUCUCUUCAGGGGGGAGCUUGUACAUUGUAAUCCCAUCACCCUUCAGUCUUCAUUUUCACACUCACUAAACAUUGUUCUCCUUAUCUCUUGCAAGAGCAAGGUCUUCCUGAGAGAGUGGGCUCCAUUAUGUUCAGGAACAGAAUGAAAAUGAAACUCAUCAUUAGUCGGGUUGACUCAGUGUCUGAAUACACAUUGUACCAUGAGGAUCCUCUUACCCUGAGCCAAAGACUGUCAAAGUCAAUUCCAACAGCUGAUGAGGCCCUUCAGGAUAGGUCAGUUUUUUCCUUGAAAUCCCAUCAUGGCAACUUCUGCAUUUGAUGAGUAUUACCAGCACAGAUAGACGCACCAUGGAGGGAAUCCCAGCCACACAGAAAAAAUCACUACCUUCUCUCAGCAUUCAGAAGCACAGUGAGUUAAACUGCUGUAUGCUUGAGCUGGUGGGAUCACCAUCGUCUGCAAUAAAGUACCCAGCUUCCAACUGAAAAACAGAAGAGCAGACUCUCCUUGGCCAGAAGUCAAUGCUGAGAUCUCUGUGCGUACUUCUUCAGCAUGAUGGACAGAUAACAGGAUGAAGACUCCGCAAGAUCAUCAGUUCAACAGUCCCAGCUUGUGAUAAGGCAUGAGGCGUCUGUGCAGUCUCUUACUCAGCAUCUUUCAGUCUAAUGAAGGCUCACAUAAUGGCUGAGAGACAGUCCUCCCUCCUGCCAGGUCAGGAUUUCUGAGAUUCCUGGUACAGCCAAAGGUGGUGAACUGACAGAAAUGCUUUGGAUGCUCUUUACAGGUAUUCAGCACAACAGGAAUUUUCUGAUUUAAGCAAAAGGAAGAGUGGAUCUGCCUUACUGCAAAAGCUCUGCCAAUCAGCAUGGAAAAAGCAGAGUCCAGGAGUAAAUACUAUAAGAAAGCAUGUCGUGGCUUCAUGUACGCAAGACACUUCAGCAAUGCUAUAAUCUAUUGGAGGUGGGCAGGAAAGAGAAAAAUUGUUGUGUUUUUUUUUUCUAAGAUGUCUUCAGUAACUAGAAAUGUACCCUGGAAGGAGUCAUCCUGAUGGACAGUGUGAUGGCUCUUUUGUCACUUAUACUGCAGUUUCAAGUCUGGAAGCAACCGGCCAUCUCUGGUGUUCCUGCGUUCUCGGCUACUGACAGGAUUGGUCAUACAAAUGGCAACAGUACGUCAGAGCUUUGAAAUGGCUCAGUGGCAGCUGAGGCUAAGAAGCAAAACUGCUGUUAUUACUCCUAUGAGAAAGAAUGGAAGAUUGAUUUUAAUGACAACUUUGUCAGUGUUUAGCAAUGCUGUUUUUAAGCAGCUUAAAACAUAAUUUCCAAUUUCAACGACGUUCAGCCUUUCCUUUCCACAAAGGCUUAUAGUAGACCAGUGGUAUGCAACUGGCAUGAGCCAGAGCCAACAGAUGCCUGUAUUAAGGUGGUACCACCUGGGCUGAAGCCCAUGGAAAACUCAAAAUAUUCAUUUAAGAGUUUGCAGUGCUGUUUAUAACCAAACAUGGACAAGUAGUGUAAAUGAAUCUGUAGCGGUGACUCCAAUGGACAGCUGCAGAACUACAGAAAUGGAGCUGGGAGCACGAUGUAGCUCACAGAGCUAACAGAAUAGUAAAGAGAAAGAAAGAAGACAAAUGGUAAUUAAAAAAACUCUGGAGAAUGCUGAUAAACCUGAUUUGACACCACUAGUGUUUCAGGACUAAGGGUAUGAAACAGGACAAUACAAAAAAAUCCACCUUUGAAUACUCUUGCUUUACAACAAGAAAUACCAUUUGGUCUAUAGAUAAGAAGUAGGAAUAAAAAUCUGCCUUAAAACUGCUUGAGAGAAAGAAAAGAAUCGUUUGUUAUUUUAUACCAAUCUGUCUUUUGUGCUAAUGUCUUCAAUACCAGUGCUUAAUUCUCUGAACUCACAUUUGUUCUAAUGUGGUGUAGCAGAAAUGCUAAGUCACAGCCUGAACCUGUGAUUGAGCACCUGGUGGAAGGCAGGGCCAACCCAGGGGAGCUCAGGUGCAUGCAAUGUACCUGAGUGAGCAGAAGGGGUGUAGCCAGGAUCCACCCCUUCCCAAACCUCAUUUAAGGGUUGGCAGUGGAGGCAAGGAUUUCUUGCUGGAGGUUCCUGCCUACCAGAGGCCUUCUGAAAGUAAGCAAUUUUUCUUCCUUUGUUUUUGCAUCCAUGGCUGUGACGUCUGGGCUUGUUCUUAUUUGCUGCCGUCUGGGAUUGUGCUACUUCACUAUUAUUGCUGUUCUUUCCAUCAUAUUAUAGCAUUACAUCUGGUUUCAUUAUCUAAUACAUUGUUAACUAGUUGGAAAAAGCGUGUACUCCAAAUAAUGUUUCUUUCUCUAUUAUUGUGUGAUUAUUAA